UGGGGAAUAUUGGACAAUGGGCGCAAGCCUGAUCCAGCCAUGCCGCGUGAGUGAAGAAGGCCUUCGGGUUGUAAAGCUCUUUUGUCCGGAAAGAAAAGCUCUCGGUUAAUACCCGGGGGUUCUGACGGUACCGGAAGAAUAAGCACCGGCUAACUUCGUGCCAGCAGCCGCGGUAAUACGAAGGGUGCAAGCGUUACUCGGAAUUACUGGGCGUAAAGCGUGCGUAGGUGGUUCGUUAAGUCUGAUGUGAAAGCCCUGGGCUCAACCUGGGAAUGGCAUUGGAAACUGGCGACCUAGAGUGCGGUAGAGGGCAGUGGAAUUCCCGGUGUAGCAGUGAAAUGCGUAGAGAUCGGGAGGAACAUCUGUGGCGAAGGCGACUGCCUGGACCAGCACUGACACUGAGGCACGAAAGCGUGGGGAGCAAACA
rnacentral:rRNA from 1 species